GUAGGGUGGAAAGGUGUGUGCAGAAAAAUGCAACGUCCCGAGUGCAUCAGAGAGUGUGAUUGUGUAGUUUCGGUGCAGAAUACAGUUUCAGAGUGAGGAGAAUGACCAGGUCCGUGACGGGUAGGCUGGCUAAUAAGCGAAAGCAGAACGAUAAAGAAACAGAACGAUAACGAAAGAAGGUAGAUGGAGAAACCGAUGAAGAAUGGGAACAAGAAGUCGAUGAAGGGCAAGUGGUGGGUACCUUUGAUGUUGUACAGAAGUUACCCUCCAGUGUAACACAUGUUACAAACAUGUGUUAC
rnacentral:lncRNA from 1 species